ensembl:antisense zinc finger E-box binding homeobox 2, opposite strand
CGCAGUGCCUCGAGGAUUAGUUUAAACAGCGGGCUAUAAAAGAUGUAACAGAUGCAAACUGUAACACAAGGGCCAUUAACCCUUUCUCUGCCGCCCAGCACGCCCAGUCCCUACACCCUGCACCUAUUGUCUCCGGUGCCACAAGCUUUGCGGAAAACCUGGAAAUUUUGGCCAGAAAUGGUGAGAAGAAAAAGCAUGAAGAAGCCGCGAAGUGUGGGGGAGAAAAAGGUGGAGGCGAAGAAACAGCUCCCGGAGCAAACUGAACAAAACCUCGCCAAGAGUGUCGGGAGGCAGGACCGUUAUUCCUGCCGAGCAGGGGAGAGAAGAGAGACCCUGAAACACGCGCCACCUAUCUUUGUGGGGAGGGAUAAUUGAAGCGCCCUGAGCGUGAGCAUCAUGUGAAAACGUGAUCGCCAAGUUUCUCUCUGGGAAAGGAUCUGGGAUAGAUUAUACCUUGAAGUCUCCGCAAACGCUUUAGUGGAAGAAAUGAAAUUCCACCUCCCUCCCUUCCUCUCUCCCUCCCUCCCUUCUCCUGCACCCCCCCCCCCCCCCCCGUCAAGCCUUUGACAUCAUUAUCCUCAUCACUAAAUCCUGCAGAGUACUGGGCGGAAAACGGUGCACACCAUUCACAGAACUGGAGAACUCCAAGGGGCGAAAGUUAAAGGGAAAGAUCUUGGGUCUUCCAUGCAGAUCUCUUGUCUUAUACAGAUAUCUCUGGUGACUAGGCUUGAGGUGCACGUCAAGUUGUAUGGAUACCUCAAGCACCGUUUUUGGAACUAAAUUCUUGCCCUUUCUCUUAUUACUUUUUUUUUUUUUUUUUAAAGAUGCCAGAGCUAGGGGAGGAAAAUGCUACUUGUACACUGCAUCUUAGGAUCUCAGUGUGCAGUGUGUGUGUGUGUGUGUGUGUGUGUGAGAGAGAGAUAUUUUUCUGGAUUGGAUCCCUAUAUUAAAAGUUUGGCAUUUUAAUAAAGGGUCUCUAGAUUAACAUAGAGCUGCACUAUGCUGGCCAGUCUCUGGACCCCUCUACAUCUCAUGCAGACCACACUACAAAGUGAGGGGCCAGGGACAGGAGGAAGAAGGAGAAAGGCCAGAGGAGCUUAGGACGAAAGAAAGAAGAUGGUGACAUUAAACUGUGUGGGGUCUAAGUUUUGAAGUGCAUAUUUUUUGAUAUUGCAAUUAAAGUAAAAUUAAAAAGAAAAGACUCCACCUUUGCUCUGAAGGGAUUGGUUAUGCAAAUAUGGAAGGGAUUUCCUGGAGAAUACAGCUUUCUACUGUAUGGUUAAUUAAAUAAUCACUCAAAA